rnacentral:rRNA from 1 species
UACGAAGGGGGCUAGCGUUGUUCGGAUUUACUGGGCGUAAAGCGCACGUAGGCGGUUUGUUAAGUCAGGGGGUGAAAAUCCCCACAGCUCAACUGUGGAACUGCCUUUUGAUACUGGCAAGCUAGAGUCCGGAAGAGGUAAGUGGAACUCCUAGUGUAGAGGUGGAAUUCGUAGAUAUUAGGAAAGAACACCAGUGGCGAAAGGCGGCUUACUGGUCCGGGAACUGACGCUGAGGGUGCGAAAGCGUGGGGGAGCAAACAGG